GUUUGCAUGUGUAAAUGAUUAUGUGUGGCCAAGCUCUGGUGGAGAUACGAGACACAUGUAUGGAGGUGUGACAGCUGGGGACACAAGCCAGGGGCUGGGCGGCUCCCCAGCCACGGCCUGCAGGACACAGCCAUCCCUCAAUCGUUUCAUUAUUUCCAUCCAGAUCACUAAGAUGAUUACUGAGAACAGCGACACGAAGAGCCGAGAAUGACCGGAGAGAGCCGAAAACUGCCGGAGAUAGCCGACAACUACCGGAGAGCCGACAUCUGCCGAACAGAGCCGACAAUGACCGGACAGAGCCGAAAAUUACCCGAGAGAGCCGACAACUGACGGAGAGAGCCGAAGCGCAUCCGAUUAACCUGAGUCCCGCUUAUCAUAAUUUGGCACCGAUUCCAUUUUUGGAAUAACCAGUACAAAAAUAUUAUAUAUA